GCCUAUUGAUACGGAUUAUCUUAAUUGAUGUGAUUGAAAUUAGAGAAAGUCUUAGGUAGGGCACCCCCACCACCUCACUUAUACGACCAUCCAUUCGCGGCUUGACACGUGUGAUAUUUUUUCCACGUCAGAUUGCUGGGAAAAAGGCUCCAAAAUUUCAAAGUGAAAUUCAUUAUCCCACCAAGAGUUUUACCUCGAUUAAAAUUUCUCGAUAGUUGAGUAAGUAAGGAAGAACAAACGCUGCCGUCUCUUUUCUCCCACUCAAUUCAUCAUCUUCCCUUCUUUUCCAUUCCAUUUCCAGAUUCACCAAAAUCAACCUUUCUCGACCUGACAGUUCAUUCUCAACGGUAAGGUGCUUUUUGUUGCAUUUCAAUCUGGGCAUUUCAAUUGCUUUGCCGUGGAGGUGUAAGCUGCGUGGAGAAGAGUUGUGGGCUUGCCUGUGACCCCCCGGAACAGUGGAGUUCAAUUGGCUUGUAAAGGAAUGGAGGAAACUAUUGGAGAUGAUGAAGAACUCAAAGUGGGAAUGCAAGUACACUCUAAUGAUGAGGCUUACAAUUUAUAUAAUACCUAUGCUUUGAGAAAGGGUUUUAGUGUUCGUAAAGGACAUGUUCGAAGAGAUUCAUCAAAUAACAUCUGCCAACGAGAAUUUCUAUGUUCAAAGGAGGGGUUUGCAAGAGACGAUGAUGAAUUUCAACCAAACAAACACAGGAAGUUAGAAACAAGAGUGGGUUGUAAGGCUAUGAUAUUAUUUGCGGUGAAAGAUGGAAUAGGGACAGUGUUACGUCCCGAACCCAAAUUCACCGGUUUACUAGUCAUUUGGGCAGUAAACGACAAUUUGUUUUACUUUUACUCUUUUUCGGUAACUUUAG